ACAGCGCGCAUAUACUCCUCUUCCGCGCAGUUCUCGCAAUUCUCCCGUCUGACACUCGACGUUAAAUAUGAUCACGACGAUUUUUCACCGGGACUGAAAUUUGCAAGGAGCAAAAGGAAUACUCAAUAUUCCGAAGAGCGAACUUCUCUGCUUUUGAUGCAUGAUUACACGGACCGUAUACAUUCCAUUAGGCGCGAGAGGGUUAACCCGAGUCGUCCGACAACUGACCGAUCAGGAUUCCACGCAGGAAUGGGAAACACCGGAUUAAGCCCCGAUGAAUCCGUCGCCGGAACGGUUAAUAUUCAGUCUAGCUUCCGUAAACAUGACGAAGAAAUCGAUCGGCGCGACGUGUUGCUUCCGUGGUGCCUGCCGUCGUGCGUUUGCGUCGUGAUUAUUUUUUACGUGAACGCGGAAACGCGAGACACGUCCGCGGAGACGUCUACGUCGGAGUUAGUCUCGGGAUGUUUCCUGCUCAACGUCCCGUGUUUCUAUGUUCGUUCGGUAAUGCCAUCGUUGCGGAAAUUAAUCUCCGAGGGACAGACGACCUUUUUUUCUCCCGCUCGCUCGCAGUUUUAGCCGGUGUACUCGCUUUUUCCCCUCGAUAACGUAACCGGCGAAAAUUACACGACAACCGGGAAGGAUCACGCAAAAGAUGUAUUGCGUACGGCGUGUCGUCUCGAUCUCGUCGAUCGGUCGCGUGCGAUUCGUGACUCCCCGAUCGUUUUCUCACCUGAUAUUGCCGAUAUCUUCGCCCGCUGAAUCAGAUUGAGUUGCUUUCUAUCGUUUCGAUCGGAUCGUCCGUUGAAUGCGCGAUUUCACGAUCUUUCCCACCGUGAUGUGUCACGUGAGUCUUGAUUUAUCGCUCGACAAAAGAGAGCCUAAUUCGACAAUGUACUGUUUCACGACGCAUGACACAUGCAGCGGAUAUAAUGAGGAUGAAAUUUGCGUCGCAAAGAAAGUGAAAGAAGCAAAAGUUGGUUUUCAAAGCCGAAUGUGAUAAAAAAGAAAACGAGAGGGGAAAGAGAGAGAAUUGUUUUACUCACAUUACAUUUUAUAUUUCGACGUUAAAUAGGUUUACGAAUAAAGAAAUACAAUUCCAGAAUUUAUAAGCUGGAGUCGCUGGUUUUAUCUCCAGCGAGUCUUUCACUAAUCACGCGUGUCGUCACUAUCGUCGUCGUCGUCGUUGCAGACGACAGAUUCAGCGUUUUCGCGUAUCGGCACGCUCGCUGAUAACGGAGUUCGAGUCCAAUAUAACUUGGCCGAGUUUAGAUUUCAGGCUGGUGAGGUCAAAAUGGAAGCAAUAAGUUGCGAUAGCUCGGGAAAGGAAGAAAAGUAAAAGUAAGCUCACGACAAACCAGCGCAACUGUGAUACCGCGGCGUUAUCUCGAGGGAAUGAUUUUCAACUAUUAGCGUGUGUCUACCAACGCAAAGAUCUCAUUUUCUUAACGCGGCGCUACAAUAAAUCAACAGGUAAUGCUAUUUUGGACAGAUGCGCUAUUCAGCUACGUUUGCUCGCAUAACUGGUUUCAAAAGCCCUGGUCAAGCUGCCCAACAGUGCUCGGUUAUCCCUGCAGGCUAUGCCAGGAACACAGUCGACACGUCGUUACUCCGUCCGCGAACAGCAUGUGGGUUUUAUGCGAUUUUAUACGCGCAAUUACCGUGGAAAUCUGUGAGCUCGAACGCUGCCGCAUCUCGUACCCUCGUAAUUAAUCCCAUGUAACCCUUAACAAGGAAGGGAGAGACCUUCCGCGGCUUUGUAAGUAAUUAUUUUUGGAAUUCCUGUCGUGAACGCAGAAACCCAGUAGGAGUAUAACGAAGCGAUCUGAACGUGACUUUUGAGAAAACGACGCGUUUAAAAUUUUACCUCUACCGGUCAGAAUUAAUACGAAAGCUGUGCCUCGACAAUGAUGUUACGCACAAUGCAAUUUUCUAUUCAUCUUUCGACAAAUAUGCUGUAAAAAAUAACAUGUCUUUCUUAUUAUAUACAUGACAUCAUUGAUCCCUAAGUUUUUUUAUAAGACACCUCGAACUGUCGACAUGUGCAAUUUGCGCGCUUCUGACUUUUCUCGUAAAAAAUCAAUGCGAUUUACGUCUACACAUGCACUAUGUAAUAUGACGCUCUGUGAGCUUGGUUUGUUCACUCACUAUUUCGCGUCGAUAUCCAACGUUGAUGUCCAGCCGUUCACAUCCAUCGAUGAAGCCUGCCGCUGUAUCCCCCUGUAUUUUCAACAGUCUCUGUAGCGUCCAGUUACGUUCCACGUCGAACGUACUUCACUCACUUCACUUUACUGUAUUGUUCUCGCGACCGCCACAAUUUUAACGGCGAUUUAAACGAUUAGACGAUUUAUCAAACAAUUUAACGAUGUAAGUGCGAUUCACUGAUUUUAAUGAUUUAACGAAAAGUACGCGAUAAAUUUCAGUGCUUUGAGAAUAUACUCUCGAUUUGCGAGUCGCGUGUAAAAGAUCACGGCGCUCUUAAAUAAAUAUCGUCGAUAUUAUUUUAACGAGGUCUACAAAGAAAAAAGAAAUAUUCCGUUUCACAGACGAUUGUACUUAUCGAAAAAUGAGUUUUCUCUAUUUCACAAGAAUUAUAAUUUUUAAAAACAACAGCAUAAAUAUACGUCGAGCAAAACAACAAAUAAAAUGAAAUUUAGCCUUAACUUCCGCGGAAAUGAUAUAUAGCGUCACAUAUGAAAUAUUUGGGAAACCGAUGACCGCAAUGAUCACAAAAUUGAUCGCAAACGAAGUAUGUAAACACAAAUUCCGUGUCUGGUGGUACAAUUCUGAUGCACAUUUUAUAUUGCCCGAAAUAAUUAGUGGAUCACAAUGAAUGAAUACAAUUCCACUGAAUAAUCUUACAUUUUAAGUAAAAUAUAAUAAGUGCCGAAACGUUUAUAUAAGCUCAUUAAAGAUUAAGAGAUUAAAAAUAAUAUAAAGAGUAUCGUAAAGAGAUACUUUGGACAUAUGCAAGAAAAUAUUUUUAAGAAAAAAGUAUUGAAUAGUUCAAAUAUUUAUGAAAAUUAAAAGAAGUGUGUUCUCUUGAUUGCUUCGAGCAAUAUGAUACUUUGAUAGACGACACAACACAUACAUGCAAAAAUCUACAACUUAAGUAAAUAGCAUUGAUUUCGACUAUAUUAUUUAAACACCUGUCACUAGAAUAUCCAUCAGUCUCAUUUUUCAUACACAUAUUUCUGACUCACCGAAAUACCAGGAACUCAGAGUCGGUCGCGUUCCGCUACAGAUCUGAAAUAAAAAAUAUAGGUUCUCUGAUAAGAGAUACAAUAUUUAAUGGCUUGACGAGAAAAAUUCCCGUAGAUAUCAGCGUGGCAACUUUCUGCGACUAUUGUAGCUCAAUAUUUUUAGUCACGAUUAAAAACUACGAUUUUUAUCUUGUA